GUUUGAUCCUGGCUCAGGACGGACGCUGGCGGCGUGCUUAACACAUGCAAGUCGAACGGUGACCUCGAGAGCUUGCUCUUGGGUGAACAGUGGCGAACGGGUGAGUAACACGUGAGUAACCUGCCCCUGACUCUGGAAUAAGCGCUGGAAACGGCGUCUAAUACCGGAUACGAGACGCAACCGCAUGGUUAGUGUCUGGAAAGUUUUUCGGUCUGGGAUGGACUCGCGGCCUAUCAGCUUGUUGGUGAGGUAAUGGCUCACCAAGGCGAUGACGGGUAGCCGGCCUGAGAGGGCGACCGGCCACACUGGGACUGAGACACGGCCCAGACUCCUACGGGAGGCAGCAGUGGGGAAUAUUGCACAAUGGGCGAAAGCCUGAUGCAGCGACGCCGCGUGAGGGAUGACGGCCUUCGGGUUGUAAACCUCUUUCAGCAGGGAAGAAGCGAAAGUGACGGUACCUGCAGAAGAAGCACCGGCUAACUACGUGCCAGCAGCCGCGGUAAUACGUAGGGUGCGAGCGUUGUCCGGAAUUAUUGGGCGUAAAGAGCUUGUAGGCGGUUUGUCGCGUCUGCUGUGAAAAUCCGGGGCUCAACCCCGGACUUGCAGUGGGUACGGGCAGACUAGAGUGUGGUAGGGGAGACUGGAAUUCCUGGUGUAGCGGCGAAAUGCGCAGAUAUCAGGAGGAACACCGAUGGCGAAGGCAGGUCUCUGGGCCACUACUGACGCUGAGAAGCGAAAGCAUGGGGAGCGAACAGGAUUAGAUACCCUGGUAGUCCAUGCCGUAAACGUUGGGAACUAGGUGUGGGUCUCAUUCCACGAGAUCCGUGCCGCAGCUAACGCAUUAAGUUCCCCGCCUGGGGAGUACGGCCGCAAGGCUAAAACUCAAAGGAAUUGACGG
rnacentral:rRNA from 1 species